rnacentral:lncRNA from 1 species
CUUACAUGGAUGGGUGCGAGUAAAAAAUGAUAAGAAUGCCAGGGAAGUGAUAUUUGGAUCAAAUGAUAUCAAUUUGAUUAUUGUAAUCAGUUAAAAAUAUUGUUUUUAAAUGUUGUGGUUGUCGGACAAAAAGUUAAUUGUUGACCAAAAGUCAACUGUUGUAUAAAUGGUCAAUUUUGUAGGCUUUGUACAUGUAUGGACUUUGAAUGUGA